GACGAACGCUGGCGGCGUGCUUAACACAUGCAAGUCGAACGGAAAGGCCCUGCUUUUGUGGGGUGCUCGAGUGGCGAACGGGUGAGUAACACGUGAGUAACCUGCCCUUGACUUUGGGAUAACUUCAGGAAACUGGGGCUAAUACCGGAUAGGAGCUCCUGCUGCAUGGUGGGGGUUGGAAAGUUUCGGCGGUUUGGGAUGGACUCGCGGCUUAUCAGCUUGUUGGUGGGGUAGUGGCUUACCAAGGCUUUGACGGGUAGCCGGCCUGAGAGGGGGGCCGGCGACAAUGGGACUGAGAGACGGCCCAGACUCGUACGGGAGGCAGCGGGGGAGAGUAUGACACAGUGAGGGGAAGCCUGAGACAGCAGCGCCGCGUGCGGGAUGACGGCCUUCGGGGUGUGAACCGCUUUCGCCUGUGACGAAGCGGGAGUGACGGUAAUGAGUAAAGAAGCACCGGCUAACUACGUG
rnacentral:rRNA from 1 species